CACGAAGCUCUUCCGAUUUUGGCUCGCAAUAAAGCUAGGGUCCUGAUCGAGCAAGACUACGUCCUAUCUAUCUACCUCUCCAAACACAAUAUCUUGAGUACCUAUGAUGGUGACUACAUCUGCUGGCAUGUGAUGUUUGGACAUAGAAUCAAG